UCCGGUGACGAUGUCGGAGGGGCCACACCCGAUCCCAUCCCGAACUCGGAAGUUAAGCCCUCCAGAGCCGAUGGUACUGCACGCGUGAGUGUGUGGGAGAGUAGGACGUUGCCGGGU
rnacentral:rRNA from 1 species